AGCAGCCGCGGUAAUUCCAGCUCCAAUAGCGUAUAUUAAAGUUGUUGCAGUUAAAAAGCUCGUAGUUGAAUUUCGGGAUCAAUAUGUCGGUCGUGCUUCGGUACGUACUGGCGUUAUUGGUUUCUCCCUUCUGAAGAACCGCGAUGUCAUUAAUUUGGUGUCGUGGGGAAUCAGGACUGUUAGUUUGAAAAAAUUAGAGUGUUUAAAGCAGGCUCGCGCUUGAAUACAUUAGCAUGGAAUAAUGAAAUAGGACGUUUGAUUCUAUUUUGUUGGUUUCUAGGAUCGACGUAAUGAUUAAUAGGGAUAGUUGGGGGCAUUAGUAUUCAAUUGUCAGAGGUGAAAUUCUUGGAUUUAUUGAAGACUAACUACUGCGAAAGCAUUUGCCAAGGAUGUUUUCAUUAAUCAAGAACGAAAGUUAGGGGAUCGAAGACGAUCAGAUACCGUCGUAGUCUUAACCAUAAACUAUGCCGACUAGGGAUCGGAUGAUGUUAAUUUUUUAAUGACUCAUUCGGCGCCUUACG
rnacentral:rRNA from 1 species